GAGCUUCCUUGACGAUGACCAGAUAGAGGCUGGUUGGGUUCUCACUUGUGUUGCUUUUCCUCAGUCUGAUGUUGUCGUUGAGACACACAAGGAAGCUGAGCUUACUGGUUAAGUCAAACCCCGAUUCUUGUUUUCUAGGUCUGUUGGUUUCUGGCUUAGUUUGUUCUUCGGAACAUGAUUGUUAUGUUUCUUUUUAAAGUUUGUAGUCACAAACAGAACUCUUUUAGCUUACUAAUGUUCCUAUAUAUGUGGGUGUUCUCUCUCUCUCUUUCUCUCUCUUAUUUACAACAACCUAAUAAGGGGUGGAAGCAAUCCUAACAGACCACAAGUAUGAUAAAGGUGAGGACCUGAGAUACAAAACCACUUCUUUCCUCCCUCAUGUUACUAAGAACAACAAGCGGAAAACAACAAUAAAAAUACAGGAAAAGAAUUAGAAUUAAAAAAAAUAAGGAGAGAAGGCAUGGUACUAUGUUAUUCAUCCUACCUCAUGAAGUCAAACUCACAUG
rnacentral:misc_RNA from 1 species